rnacentral:misc_RNA from 1 species
GAUGAAGAACGUAGCGAAAUGCGAUACGUAAUGUGAAUUGCAGAAUUCAGUGAAUCAUCGAAUCUUUGAACGCAUAUUGCGCUCUUUGGUAUUCCGAAGAGCAUGCUUGUUUGAGUAUCAGUAAACACCUCAACCUCUUCUUGAUUUUUCAAAAGGAGGAUGGACUUGAGCUAUCCCAACAACCUUUACCGGUCGGCGGGCGGCUUGAAAUGCAGGUGCAGCUGGACUUUUAUCUGAGCUAAAAGCAUAUCUAUUUAGUCCUCGUCAAACAGGAUUAUUACUUUUGCUGCAGCUAACAUAAAGGAUAAUUGUCCUCUUUGCUGACUGAUGCAGGAUAUUACGACACUUUAUGUGUUGUUCAACUCGAGCUCAAAUCAAGUAAGACUACCCGCUGAACUUAAGCAUAUCAAUAAGCGGAGGA